rnacentral:rRNA from 1 species
GUCCACGCCGUAAACGAUGAGCACUAGAUAUGGGACUGUUGACCGGUUCCGUGUCAAAGCUAACGCAUUAAGUGCUCCGCCUGGGGAGUACGGUCGCAAGACUAAAACUCAAAGGAAUUGACGGGGGCCCGCACAAGCGGUGGAUUAUGUGGUUUAAUUCGAAGCAACGCGCAGAACCUUACCUGGGCUUGAACUCCUAGGAACCCUGCCCAAAAGCGGGGGUGCCCUUCGGGGAAUCUAGUGAGAGGCGCUGCAUGGCU